rnacentral:rRNA from 1 species
UUGAUGAACGCUAGCUACAGGCUUAACACAUGCAAGUCGAGGGGCAGCAUGGUCUUAGCUUGCUAAGGCCGAUGGCGACCGGCGCACGGGUGAGUAACGCGUAUCCAACCUGCCUUACACUCUUGGACAGCCUUCUGAAAGGGAGAUUAAUACAAGAUGUUAUCAUGAGUAAGCAUUUUCACAUGAUUAAAGGUUUACCGGUGUAAGAUGGGGAUGCGUUCCAUUAGAUAGUAGGCGGGGUAACGGCCCACCUAGUCUUCGAUGGAUAGGGGUUCUGAGAGGAAGGUCCCCCACAUUGGAACUGAGACACGGUCCAAACUCCUACGGGAGGCAGCAGUGAGGAAUAUUGGUCAAUGGACGAGAGUCUGAACCAGCCAAGUAGCGUGAAGGAUGAAGGUUCUAUGGAUUGUAAACUUCUUUUAUACGGGAAUAAACGAAUCCACGUGUGGAUUUUUGCAUGUACCGUAUGAAUAAGGAUCGGCUAACUCCGUGCCAGCAGCCGCGGUAAUACGGAGGAUCCGAGCGUUAUCCGGAUUUAUUGGGUUUAAAGGGAGCGUAGAUGGGUUGUUAAGUCAGUUGUGAAAGUUUGCGGCUCAACCGUAAAAUUGCAAUUGAUACUGGCAGUCUUGAGUACAGUUGAGGUAGGCGGAAUUCGUGGUGUAGCGGUGAAAUGCUUAGAUAUCACGAAGAACUCCGAUUGCGAAGGCAGCUUACUAACCUGUAACUGACAUUGAUGCUCGAAAGUGUGGGUAUCAAACAGGAUUAGAUACCCUGGUAGUCCACACGGUAAACGAUGAAUACUCGCUGUAGGCGAUAUACAGUCUGCGGCCAAGCGAAAGCAUUAAGUAUUCCACCUGGGGAGUACGCCGGCAACGGUGAAACUCAAAGGAAUUGACGGGGGCCCGCACAAGCGGAGGAACAUGUGGUUUAAUUCGAUGAUACGCGAGGAACCUUACCCGGGCUUAAAUUGCAACCGAAUAUGGCGGAAACGCUAUAGCUAGCAAUAGCGGUUGUGAAGGUGCUGCAUGGUUGUCGUCAGCUCGUGCCGUGAGGUGUCGGCUUAAGUGCCAUAACGAGCGCAACCCUUGCCGAUAGUUACUAACAGGUCAUGCUGAGGACUCUGUCGGGACUGCCAUCGUAAGAUGUGAGGAAGGUGGGGAUGACGUCAAAUCAGCACGGCCCUUACGUCCGGGGCUACACACGUGUUACAAUGGGGGGUACAGAGGGCUGCUACCACGCAAGUGGAUGCCAAUCCCAAAAACCUCUCUCAGUUCGGAUUGAAGUCUGCAACCCGACUUCAUGAAGCUGGAUUCGCUAGUAAUCGCGCAUCAGCCACGGCGCGGUGAAUACGUUCCCGGGCCUUGUACACACCGCCCGUCAAGCCAUGGGAGCCGGGGGUACCUGAAGUGCGUAACCGCAAGGAGCGCCCUAGGGUAAAA